rnacentral:sRNA from 1 species
AGAAUAAGUGGGAAUAAAUACAAGCAUUGCAGAAUUACAUAUAUUAAACCUAUUGCAUUUUUGUAUAAAUAUACCAAAUUUGGUACAUAUGUUGAAUACAUGUCUAUGCCUUUGUAAUGCUCGAGUAUUUUAUUACUUUUAUACAGUCACGUACAUGUACAUAUAUCAAUGUGUAAAUUAAAAUUGUUGGUAAUGCUCAGCCCGUAAUAUAUAUUUAUAUACAAUUUGUUUUUGUUAAUAAAGUGAGAAAACAG